CUGAUGUCAUAUUGAGACAGUCAAGAAGAUGGUCGGGUGAGAAUUGGUCUGCAGUACAGAUAUAGCGGUAAAUUGAAUCUCCUAGACACGCUUUUCCACUCUGUGUACAAAUUGUUGUAGAAAAUAUUUUCAGAAGAAGAAAUAGGAUCUGCUAAGAGGGCUAACCUUUGGAAGAGUUGCCAGGUAUGUGUCUGGGAUUUCCAUCUCAGCAAGAAUAGUACUAUUGAUGGCCAUGGCAGCUUUGUGAAUUUGAUUAGCACAGUCACGUUUGUGCUGCAAAUGCUUCCUUGCCUUCUCAGAGAGGCCACGUGGAUCUACACAUGGAACAGGCAACCACCAUUUCUCUUCUUUCCUCUGAGUAACCUUUCGAAAUGAGCCUGUACGAAUUGAAUUCCCUGACAUGCUCCCUUGUUUUGCAUACCAGAAUUCUGUAUCUUCGAAACUAUCCAGUAUUUCCUGUCAAAGAAAGAAAAAUCUAUGUUUUUGUAUGCGAUCCCUAAGAGAAACCAGCGUUCCUCUGAGAAAAGAGUGCAGCUUUUAGCAAAUAAAGGUUGUCUUACUAUGA